rnacentral:lncRNA from 1 species
UUUAUUUCCAGGAUCUUUCUAAUUCACAAGCCGAGGUCAAGCUUCCGUGCACAUCAGGUUCACCAAUUAUUGAUCCCCAUCUAUCUCCAGAUGGUACAAUGCUCGGUUAUGUAAGAGAUGCGAGUUUGCACGUUCUAACUUAUAAAAAUGUAUUCAGUUAACAUAUGGUGCCAAAGGAGAUGUUUUGGUAAGUUUUCUAUACAGUAACUCUAGGUCUGGACUAACUGAGUCACUUCAAUAUUAUUAGCAUUUUUACAGUUUGCAACUAUAAAAUAUUUCUGUCACAAUUAGUAUGUUUUAGUGAUCGGAGCUUAAGAUAACAUCCUUGUGACUUGGCCUCCGUCGCUUAAGCCACCAUAAAUUCUUAAUCUUUCUGUCACUUAAGCCAACAUAAAUUCUAAAGGAAUUCUAGUGGAUUUGUAUUUUGGAUUUACUUUCAGUGCUAUAGAUUAGAUUAGAAUUCUGAUCUUUUCGUUGAUAUGAAUCUGGUUUUUCUGUGUCGCAGACUCAUGGCCUUGCGGAAUAUAAUGC